rnacentral:tRNA from 1 species
GGUGACGUGAUCGAGUGGUUAAGAUGCAAGGCCGACAGCGAGAGGCAUGCACCCAGAAGGGCAGGCGCCUGGCAUUGGGCCAGCUUGAAUCCUUGUUCCUUUGGGAGCGUGGGUUCAAAUCCCGUCGUCACCG